UGAACCUCGGGUUCAGGAGAGAUACCCAGGAAGGAAAAGGCAUUAUGUUGGACCAGGCUGAUAGCCACGGAGAAGAGCACUGGACCAGACUCAAGAUGCAGAGCCUCAAGUAUGGUAUCCACAGGGGCCCGAUUGCCUGCGAGCUUAAAGAAUCAUCCCAGGACCUUGGCACACAUCGUGUGAAAGAGCGUUCCUUUCUCUCCCUUGACCGUCUCAUACCCACUCACCUGACACUUCCUCAAGGGAGCCUUCUGUGACCGUCAUCGUGAGACUGGAUCAGGGUCUGCUGGGACACCUUCUCAAGGCUUUGGAUCUCCUCUGGAGCCCUUCUUACACCUGCGGAUAACUAACAUAUUGAGUCCUUGGUUUAAUGCCUAUGCCCCCUGAUAGUUUGUAAGCUUCCUGCAUCACUUAUUUUCCAGUAUCCUCAGCUUGUAGGAAGGUGCUAGCAAAUAGCACUCAAUAAAUCUUCAUUUACCGAAUGAACAGUUGGGUAUUCUUAGGCAGUAGCUGCACCCACCUUCCCUGACCUGCACCCACUUUCACUUAUCUGCAUACACAUAUGCAGAUAGCAUAUGGGUGCAUAAAGGUGGGGGUUUGCAAUUUUAGAGACAGGAGCAUGGCUUCUGGCAGACGGUGUGGAAGGGAGGCUGAGGGGGAACCCUUGGGAAAGUUCCCUGGAGGUGAUGAACUUAGACACAGAUGGUAGGAUUAGCUCACCUGUCCUGUGGGGCUCAGAUGAGGCUGGAUCACUCGGGUCAGGAGUGAGAUGGAGGUAACAUUUUCUGAUAGGAAACAGAGAAGGAGUCUAAACGACGAGAAAGAAGAGAAGCGUUUGUCCCACUGCAAUUCCACUGCCGAGAGGAGAGACGCAGCAGCCGUGGGCCAGCCGGAGCGAUGGUCCAGCGUCUGCUUUGGGUGGCAGCAGUGCUGUUUCCUA